rnacentral:rRNA from 1 species
UCCAGACUCCUACGGGAGGCAGCAGUGGGGAAUAUUGCACAAUGGGGGGAACCCUGAUGCAGCGACGCCGCGUGGGUGAAGGAGCACCUCGGUGCGUAAAGCCCUCUCGGCAGGGAAGAAAAGCGAACAGGUUCGCCUGGACGGUACCUGGCUAAGAAGCCCCGGCUAACUACGUGCCAGCAGCCGCGGGAAUACGUAGGGGGCAAGCGUUAUCCGGAUUUACUGGGUGUAAAGGGAGCGUAGACGGCAAUACAAGUCGGAAGUGAAAUACCCGGGCUCAACCUGGGAACUGCUUUGGAAACUGUAUGGCUGGAGUGCUGGAGAGGUAAGCGGAAUUCCUAGUGUAGCGGUGAAAUGCGUAGAUAUUAGGAGGAACACCAGUGGCGAAGGCGGCUUACUGGACAGUAACUGACGUUGAGGCUCGAAAGCGUGGGGAGCAAACAGGAUUAGAUACCCCUGUA